rnacentral:lncRNA from 1 species
CCUAGUCUAGACCAAGAACCCCUACCUUAUGAGCGGUAACCAAAGCUACGACUACACUGGUCAGGCAAGUGACCGACAUUAGAAUCUGAAGUCAUUUAAUACAAGCAUUGAAAGAUAACAAAGAAAUUCAUUUCAUUAGAAAAAAUCCAUUACAAGAAGUUUGCUACCAAUGAAAAAAGAAGCAAGAGUACAAAUAUCUAAUCGAGGUCCUCAAGCAUGGGCUCGAUGCUAUGGUCAACUAUCUCUUUCCUCAUAGCAUCCUCGGUGGC